rnacentral:tRNA from 2 species
AGUCCUGCACCUCCUG